UACGGGGGGAGCAAGCGUUGUUCGGAUUUACUGGGCGUAAAGGGCGCGUAGGCGGUCGUGACAAGUCACUUGUGAAAUCUCCGGGCUUAACUCGGAACGGUCAAGUGAUACUGUCGGACUAGAGUACAGAAGGGGCAACUGGAAUUCUCGGUGUAGCGGUGAAAUGCGUAGAUAUCUGGGAGAACACGGUGCGAAGGCGGCAUCCUGGACCGAUAUUGACGCUGAGGAGCGAAAGCCAGGGGAGCAAACGGG
rnacentral:rRNA from 1 species